CGCGUAUGCAACCUACCUUAUACAGGAGUAUAGCCCGAAGAAAUUCGGAUUAAUCCUCCAUAGUAUUUUCUAAUGGCAUCAUUUGGAAAAUUAAAGCUUCGGCGGUAUAAGAUGGGCAUGCGUCCUAUUAGCUAGAUGGUAAGGUAACGGCUUACCAUGGCAACGAUAGGUAGGGGGCCUGAGAGGGUGAUCCCCCACACUGGUACUGAGACACGGACCAGACUCCUACGGGAGGCAGCAGUGAGGAAUAUUGGGCAAUGGAGGCAACUCUGACCCAGCCAUGCCGCGUGCAGGAAGAAU
rnacentral:rRNA from 1 species